UAAGAGGUCCCGCCUGCCCAGUGACUACAAGUUCAACGGCCGCGGUAUUUUGACCGUGCGAAGGUAGCGUAAUCAUUUGUCUUUUAAAUUAAGACCUGUAUGAAAGGUGAGACGAGGGCUUAGCUGUCUCCUCUCUCCAGUCAAUGAAAUUGAUCCCCCCGUGCAGAAGCGGGGAUUUUAACAUAAGACGAGAAGACCCUGUGGAGCUUUAGACACUCGGGCAGACUAUGUCAAGUACCCCUAAUAAAGGUGAAAACAGAGUAUGCUACUGUCCCAAUGUCUUCGGUUGGGGCGACCAUGGGGAAAUAAGAAACCCCCAAAGUGGAAUGGAAACAGACCCUUUUUCUACAACUGAGAGUACCCCCUCUAGCUAACAGAACUUCUGACCACCAAGACCCGGCAAAGCCGAUCCACGGACCAAGUUACCCCAGGGAUAACAGCGCAAUCCCCUUUUAGAGACCCUAUCGCCAAGGGGGCUUACGACCUCGAUGUUGGAUCAGGACAUCCUAAUGGUGCAACCGCUAUUAAGGGUUCGUUUGUUCAACG
rnacentral:rRNA from 1 species